rnacentral:rRNA from 1 species
UUGGAACAGAGCGUCAUAGUGGUGAGAACCCAAUACACGAUGCGGAUGCCUAUUACUUUGUGAUACACUUUCGAAGAGUCGAGUUGUUUGGGAAUGCAGCUCAAAUUGGGUGGUAAAUUCCAUCUAAAGCUAAAUAUUGGCGAGAGACCGAUAGCGAACAAGUACCGUGAGGGAAAGAUGAAAAGCACUUUGGAAAGAGAGUUAACAGUACGUGAAAUUGUUGGAAGGGAAACACAUGCAGCCAGACUUGCUAUUCGGGGCAACUCGAUUGGCAGGCCCGCAUCAGUUUUUCGGGGCGGAAAAGCAUAGAGAGAAGGUAGCAAUUUCGGUUGUGUUAUAGCUCUUUAUUGGAUUCGCCCUGGGGGACUGAGGAACGCAGCGUGCUUUUAGCAUAAGCUUCGGCUUAUCCACGCUUAGGAUGCGGGUGUAAUGGCUGUAUAUGACCCGUCUUGAAAAAC